rnacentral:rRNA from 1 species
UUCGGAUUGUAGUCUGCAACCCGACUACAUGAAGCUGGAAUCGCUAGUAAUCGCAGAUCAGAAUGCUGCGGUGAAUACGUUCCCGGGUCUUGUACACACCGCCCGUCACACCAUGGGAGUUGGAAAUGCCCGAAGUCGGUGACCUAACCGAAAGGGAGGAGCCGCCGAAGGCAGGUCUGAUAACUGGGGUGAAGUCGUAACAAGGUAUC